CAUGCCAUUCAUAUUUCCCAGUGUUUCUACAAAGUAGUUUAGUGGCAUCUAUUAAGCUGACAAGGAACAGGUUUUAUUUUACCAGGCAGAAAAAUUUUCUAAGAAUAUCAGCAAUGAAACAAGCAUUGCAGAAUUAAAUAGCUUAAAAUGAGCAGUUGGAGGGCAAUGUAGAACACCUGGUAGACAGGUAAAACAGUGUGUAAAGAUGUAUAAGGAAUCUUAUGCAUCUAUUUAAGUAAAUCCAAAACCUGGAAUGGAAUGAGAAUUUGAGGAUAAAACUCAGAUAUUUCAUGGGCUGUGAUGACAAGCAUAUUCAAAUUUCUAAGAAAGCACAAUGUCUAUAUUUAUUAUGGAACUAAGUAUUGGUUACAGUUUACUGGCACUACAUAUUGAUUAACAUUUAUAAAUGAGAACCUAUCAACUCUGAAUUGUCCAUGCGAAUGAAAUAGAAGUCUAGGCAUUGAUGAUUUCAGACAACUAAUUUAGAAAAUCAUGUUUAAUUUUAACUAAUAUUUAUUGAAUGCCUAUUUUGUUGAAGGAACUGUGCUUGGCCUAUUAGCGUCUUUCUUCAGGAGGGGAAUAAAACCAAGUAAUCAACUAGUUGUUCAUUUACCAGGUAAAAUAUAAUGAAUGCCACUGAAGGAAUGCAGAAGAGGGAGAGAGUUUAUCUGAAAUGGCAAACUAUAAAAGACUUCAGGGAGGAGAUAGUGGUAGCACUUUGACAGUUAAAUGAAGAUUGGGGUCGGGUGGUGAGAAAAUGUUCCUGGAUGAGAGAAUAAUAGUAAAAAAUGAGGGUAAGGGAGAAAGUGAGAGAUACAUUUGGGAAACCGGGAAUAGCUUUUUUAUUUUUAUUUUUUGCUUGGUUUAGAAAAUGCUUUCACAGUGAUAAGAGUUUAGUCUGGAAAGGAAGUUGGGUGGUAUUUUGAAGAGCCUUAUAUUUCAGGGUAAGAGAUCCAUGUGAUGCUCUGUACCAGAGUUCCUGAACCUUGGCACUGUGUACAUUUUGACACUAAGAAUAAAAACCAGAUAAUUCUUUGUUGUCAGGGGCUAUCAUGUGCAUCUGUCCUAUGCCCUGGCCUAGUGGCUUUCUUCUCCUUAUCUCCCCUUUUCUGACAAUGAAAAAUGUCUCCAGACUUUACCAUGUUCCCUGAGGGGUGGGGGAAGGUUAGAAUUGUCCUUGGUUGAAAAUUACUACUGUAGACAGUAGGGAUCAGGAAGAUUUCACCAAACCUUCAUAUAAUCAAAGAAUAUCUUCUACACAUAAUCUAAACUCUUCUUCCUAAAUAGCUCUUGAAUCUUUUCUUCUAUCAUUGUUGCUACUGACUUAGGAAAGGCCUGCAUUGUUCCCACAGAGACCGCUACUAUAGCAUCCUACCAUCUUUCUGCUCCAGGCCCUGCCUUCUACAAACCAACUUUCAUGUCUUGUCAUAUCCUUUUUCAAAAUACAAAUAUGAUCAGGUCAUCACUCUACAUAAAGAGCUUCAAAGACUCUCCAUGGUUUUCAUGGUAGAAUCAAUUAUUAACAUGGAUUAUAUGACCCAUGCUACCUGUACAACCUCAUCAUUCCUUUCUUAGAAUUGCAUAUUCCAGCUGUACUGGCCUGCUGAAAUAUUGCCAUGUAUUUUCCCAUGGUAUUCUUUCUGCCUGAAAUUCUAGUCUCCAUGCUUAAUGGGUAACACUGACCCAAUAUAAAACUCAGUUCAGGUGUUAUCUCAUCUAAGCAUCAGAACACCCUUCUACCACCAUCACCCAUACUCCUAACAUACUUCUGUAGCCACUAUACUUUGUGUUACUGUUUGACUGAGGACCAGUUAUAUUCUUUUAUAACUCUCUGUGCAUAUUUUUGCCUCCUCCACUGGAAUGUACUUUUCUUGAGGGCAAAUACUAGUCUUAUUAUUUUUUGUAUAUCCAUGGUAGACACUCAAUAAAUGGUUAAAUAGGAAAGGAAGAUGAAUGUGACCAUGAUGUAGAUGCACUACAGUGGCAAAAGCCUAGAGGUAGGGAGAUGAAUUCAAGGCUAAUGCAGUAAUACAGGAAAGAGAUGAUGAGGAGCUGAAGCAGAGUACAGGGAAAGGGAAAUGAAAGGAGGUAGUGAAUGGGAAAAUAUUUAUGAGAUAUAUGAGAUUUAGUUAGCUAAUUGUAGGAAUGGGAAAUAAGAGGACAAAUGAUGCUUUACUAUUUGAUGGUAGGUUGAGAUGUUAUUAUAGGGUUUAUUGAGUCCAUUUCUGACAUAAGGCUCAGCUGGCAAAUGGAAAAAUAGUCUAGAGUUAGAAUAGAUAGUGUACAUUGAGGAGUCAUUGGUAAAUUACUGAUGUGUUGGUAUAAAUGAGAAUUCAAAGAAAUCUUGAAAGGAUGAAGAAUAGAUAGGGUUGAGGACCAAAAUUUGUCAAAUACUAAAAUUUAGGAGUGCGUGAAAGAAGGACGAAUGGAUUAAGAACCAGAGUCAGAUAGUUAGGGGCAAAAAACAGAAAGGUAAAUAUCAGCCUCAUCACUUUGGCUUGCCUUAGGUGCUAAUAGUCCAAGAUUUCACUAAAGUGACAUUGUGAAAUCUAGUAGCAAUUCUCAUUACUUUUUAGAAGAAAAUAUUAGAAACUCAGAUCCUUCUGUCAAGAGUAGCUAGUGAUCUGGCUGUAAAAUUUUAGGUCAUUAUAAGAUCGUCAGCUAAAAUUCAGGGCACCCAGUUACAUUUAAUUUCAGAUAAACAACAAAUAUUUUUUUGUAUAAGUAUGUCUCAGACAAUGUUUGGGACAUGCUUAUGAUAAAUAUUUCUUGUCUAUCUGAAAUUCAAAUUUAACUGGAUAUCCUAUAUUUUAUUUGCUAAACCUGGCAAGCUUAGUUAUUAUCACUUUUAGACGCUGUGUAUUUUCUUAAGAAGAAGCAAUGUAGUUUUGACUCAUGGUCAGUGGAAACAAAUAUAUUCUCCAAGGAGUUGGCCUUCGCUAGGAGACUUACACAUAAAAGCUUGCUGGCCUUUGGGAUAAUGUCUACUUUUUACUAUUUUCCAGAAUGAGAAGAAUCUACCAACUGCCAACAACUGCUUAAAUUAUACGGGUUCAUUAGUAUCUCUUUUAUGAAGGAAUUCUACUCCUAUCUACUAGUAAAAAUGCAAUCUGCCAGCUAUAUGAUUAUUUCUAGCUUCACUUAGAUGGUGGUCCUUUACCUGAAGCCCUUGGAACUCUAGAUGUUCCACACAGGUUUGUGGUCUUGAACAAUUAUUUUCUGAGGAAGAAUGCAUAGUUUUGAUAGAUUUUGAAAGGGCCCAGGAUUCUAAAAAGAUUAAGAAUCAUUUUCUCAUAGAGAGCACCCUUUAUAUAGAGAGCACCAGAUUACAAGUAAAAUUUGAAAUCUUUUCCUCUUGUACAACCUAGUUGGCAAUUAUCAAAAGAUUCUUUAACUACAAACACAAUCACAAGGUCUGAACAUGGGGAAAAAAGUCAGACAUGAUUAAAGUGUUAGCUUAAUAAUAAGUGCAAAAUGCCCUGGUUAUUCCCCUCUUAAAAGAAAGAAAGAAAGUUGGAGUUUCCCGUCAUGGUGCAGUGGUUAACGAAUCCGACUAGGAACCAUUAGGUUGUGGGUUCAAUCCCUGGCCUUGUUCAGUGGGUUAAGGAUCCGGCAUUGCUGUGAGCUGUGGUGUAGCUCACAGACGCUGCUUGGAUCCCGUGUUUUUGUGGCUCUGGCAUAGGCUGGUUCUAUUGCUCCGAUUAGACCCCAAGCCUGGGGAACCUCCAUAUAGAGCGGGAGCGGCCGUAGAAAAGGCAAAAAG
rnacentral:lncRNA from 1 species